UACGUAGGGUGCAAGCGUUAAUCGGAAUUACUGGGCGUAAAGCGUGCGCAGGCGGUUAUGUAAGACAGAUGUGAAAUGCCCGGGCUUAACCUGGGAACUGCAUUUGUGACUGCAUGGCUAGAGUUUGGCAGAGGGGGGUAGAAUUCCACGUGUAGCAGUGAAAUGCGUAGAUAUCAGGAGGAAUACCGAUGGCGAAGGCAGGUCUCUGGGCUGACACUGACGCUCAUGCACGAAAGCGUGGGGAGCAAACAGG
rnacentral:rRNA from 1 species